rnacentral:rRNA from 1 species
GUCUUUUUGGUAUUUAAUAUAAAGUCUGACCUGCCCACUGAAUAUUGUUUGAAGGGCCGCAGUAUUUUGACUGUGCAAAGGUAGCAUAAUCAUUAGUCUUUUAAUUGAAGGCUGGUAUGAAUGGUUGGAUGAGAUACAAGCUGUGUCAUAAAAAUUAAUAUUUGAAUUUACCUUUUUAGUCAAAAGGCUAAAAUAAUCUUAAAAGACGAGAAGACCCUAUAGAGCUUUAUAUAAUUAAUAUUUAAAUUAUUAAGAUUUUUAAAGUUUAAUUAUUAAAUUGUAUUUUGUUGGGGUGACAAUAAAAUUUAUAAAACUUUUAUUUUUAUUUAACAUUAAUUUAUGAAUCUAUGAUCCAGUUUUAUUGAUUAUAAAUUUAAGUUACCUUAGGGAUAACAGCGUAAUUUUUUUUGAGAGUUCUUAUCGACAAAAAAGAUUGCGACCUCGAUGUUGGAUUAAGAGUAAUUUUGGGUGUAGAAGUUCAAAGUUUAAGUCUGUUCGACUUUUAAAUUCUUACAU